rnacentral:rRNA from 1 species
AAGUCGCACGCGUAAAGCUCCCUUCGGGGAGCAAGUAGAGUGGCGAACGGGUGAGGAAUACAUGGGCAACGUACCCUUAGCUCAGGGAUAGCCCGGGGAAACCCGGGGUAAUACCUGAUGAGACCACAGUGCCAUAAGGUACAGCGGUCAAAGGUGGGGAUCUUCGGACCUACCGGCUUUGGAGCGGCCCAUGUCCUAUCAGCUUGUUGGUGAGGUAACGGCUCACCAAGGCGACGACGGGUACCGGGACUGAGAGGUUGACCCGGCACAUUGGGACUGAGACACUGCCCAGACUCCUACGGGAGGCUGCAGUAACGAAUAUUGGGCUAAUGCGCGAAAGCGUGACCCAGCGACGCCGCGUGUGGGAAGAAGCCUUUCGGGGUGUAAACCACUGUCAGGGGUUACCAAGCAAUGGCGGCUAAUAUCCGCCGGCGUUGAGGAGCCCCAGAGGAAGCCACGGCUAACUUCGUGCCAGCAGCCGCGGUAAGACGAAGGUGGCAAGCGUCGUUCGGAAUCA